GUUUAACUCAGUCCCAUGAUUCCUUGCGGUGCCGUCGAUAACAACAGCCUCGAUUUGCAAACAACAUCGGAGCAGCGUAUCUUAGAUCCAUUAUCAACAUAUUCUCAUUUUUUUCAAGGUUUACACUCGAUGUGUUUGUUUUGGAUAAGGUUCUGUUGAUCAGAUUAUAAAUUCACCGAAUAUCGUUUUCAAGGCACCGUGCCCCUGGAUCUCCACAUUCCCACAUUUCUGAAUCACAUCCAUGGAUCAGGACUAUGAGCGCCGGUUACUGCGGCAGAUCAACGUCCAGAAUGACAACACCAGCCCCAUGAAAGUAAGAGAUGUGAUCUGUCACCUGACCCCCACCCCUGAGUCGCCGCUGUCAUCACCAAGCAAGCAUGGUGACAGAUUCAUA